GUCCCUGCCAGGGUUCAGCCUCUAAGCCCUGAAGACCCAGCAACAGCACAUCUCUAUGAGUCACUAGCCUGGGUACCUCCUUUAAUGACCAGGGGUCAGACCCACUCUCUCCCUCAGGGGAUGAAAGUGAUCCACUCUAUACAUGCCAGGGUUCAGCCUCUUAUCCCUGAAGACCCAGCAACAUCACAUCUCUAUGAGUUGUUAACCUGGGUACCUCCUUUUGUUACCGGGGGUCAGACCCAAUUGCUACCUCAUUGGAUGAAAACAGUCCAUUACAUACAUACCAGGGUUCAUCCUCUAACCCCUGAAGACCCAGCAACAGCAUAUGUCUAUGAGUUGCUAGCCUGGGUAACCCCUUUAGUGACCCGGGGUCCGACCCAAUUCCCUCCUUCAGAGGAGGAACGCGAUCCAUACAUGAAGCCAUGCCAGGGUUCAACUUCUUAUCCCUGAAGACCCAGCAUCAGCAUAUCUCUAUGAG